rnacentral:tRNA from 1 species
UGGCUGAUUGGUAAAGUGCUUGGCUUCAGAACCAAGGGGUGCCAGGUUCCAAUCCUGG